UGGGGAAUCUUGCGCAAUGGGCGAAAGCCUGACGCAGCGACGCCGCGUGAGUGAUGAAGGCCUUCGGGUUGUAAAGCUCUGUGGAGGGGGACGAAUAAGGCAUGGCUAACAUCCAUGUUGAUGACGGUACCUCUUUAGCAAGCACCGGCUAACUCUGUGCCAGCAGCCGCGGUAAGACAGAGGGUGCAAACGUUGUUCGGAAUUACUGGGCGUAAAGCGCGUGUAGGCUGCUCUGCAAGUCGGAUGUGAAAGCCCUGGGCUCAACCGAGGAAGUGCAUUCGAAACUGCGGAGCUCGAGUCCUGGAGAGGAUAGCGGAAUUCUCGGUGUAGAGGUGAAAUUCGUAGAUAUCGGGAGGAACACCGGUGGCGAAGGCGGCUAUCUGGACAGUGACUGACGCUGAGACGCGAAAGCGUGGGGAGCAAACAGG
rnacentral:rRNA from 2 species